CUUUAUUGGAGAGUUUGAUCCUGGCUCAGGACGAACGCUGGCGGCAUGCCUAAUACAUGCAAGUCGAGCGGACUUGAUGAGAAGCUUGCUUCUCUGAUGGUUAGCGGCGGACGGGUGAGUAACACGUAGGCAACCUGCCCUCAAGCUUGGGACAACUACCGGAAACGGUAGCUAAUACCGAAUAGUUGUUUUCUUCACCUGAAGGAAACUGGAAAGACGGAGCAAUCUGUCACUUGGGGAUGGGCCUGCGGCGCAUUAGCUAGUUGGUGGGGUAACGGCUCACCAAGGCGACGAUGCGUAG
rnacentral:rRNA from 1 species